GGCCUUUUGAAAAUAAUUUAAGGUCUAGCCUGCCCUAUGAGGAGUUAAAUGGCCGCGGUACUCUGACCGUGCAAAGGUAGCAUAAUAAUUAGUUUUUUAAUUGAAAGCUGGAAUGAACGGUUGAAUGAGAAAACAUCUGUCUCUUUUAAAUUUAUAAUAGAAUUUUAUCUCUGAGUAAAAAAGCUUAGAUUUUAUUAAAAGACGAGAAGACCCUAUAGAGUUUUAUAAAAAAGUAAAAUUUAAUUUUUUAGAAUUUUAAACUUGAAUUUUAUUUUUUAUUUAGUUGGGGUGAUUAAAAAAUUAAUAAAACUUUUUUUUAAUUGUAACAUUUAUAUAUGAAUUUUUGAUCCAUUAUUAGUGAUUAAAAGAUUAAAUUACCUUAGGGAUAACAGCGUAAUUUUUUUUGAGAGUUCUAAUCGAAAAAAGAGUUUGCGACCUCGAUGUUGGAUUAAAAUUUAAUUUUGGUGUAGAAGCUAAAUAUUUAGGUCUGUUCGACCUUUAAAAUUU
rnacentral:rRNA from 1 species